rnacentral:rRNA from 1 species
CCUACGGGUGGCAGCAGUGAGGAAUAUUGGUCAAUGGACGAGAGUCUGAACCAGCCAAGUAGCGUGAAGGAUGACUGCCCUAUGGGUUGUAAACUUCUUUUAUAUGGGAAUAAAAUGUUCCACGUGUGGGAUUUUGUAUGUACCAUAUGAAUAAGGAUCGGCUAACUCCGUGCCAGCAGCCGCGGUAAUACGGAGGAUCCGAGCGUUAUCCGGAUUUAUUGGGUUUAAAGGGAGCGUAGGUGGAUUGUUAAGUCAGUUGUGAAAGGUUGCGGCUCAACCGUAAAAUUGCAGUUGAAACUGGCAGUCUGGAGAACAGAUGAGGUGGGCGGAAUGUGUGGUGUAGCGGUGAAAUGCUUAGAGAUCACGAAGAACUCCGAUUGCGAAGGCAGCUCACUGGACUGCAACUGACACUGAGGCUCGAAAGUGUGGGUAUCAAACAGGAUUAGAUACCCCAGUAGUC